rnacentral:rRNA from 1 species
CAGAGGGGGCAAGCGUUGCUCGGGAUCACUGGGCGUAAAGGGCGCGUAGGCGGGAUGGCAAGUCAGUCGUGAAAUCUCUCGGCUCAACCGAGAAACGUCGGCUGAUACUGCCGUUCUUGAGGGAUGCAGAGGAGACUGGAAUUCCCGGUGUAGCGGUGAAAUGUGUAGAGAUCGGGAGGAACACCGGUGGCGAAGGCGGGUCUCUGGGCAUUUCCUGACGCUGAGGCGCGAAAGCGUGGGGAGCAAACGGGAUUAGAUACCCCGGUAGUCCACGCUGUAAACGAUGACGACUAGGUGUGGGGUGGUUUAGUCCAUUCCGUGCCGCAGCUAACGCAUUAAGUCGUCCGCCUGGGGAGUACGGCCGCAAGGUUG